rnacentral:rRNA from 1 species
GAUGAACGCUGGCGGCGUGCCUAAUACAUGCAAGUCGAGCGAACAGACGAGGAGCUUGCUCCUUUGACGUUAGCGGCGGACGGGUGAGUAACACGUAGGUAACCUACCUAUAAGACUGGGAUAACUUCGGGAAACCGGAGCUAAUACCGGAUAAUAUUUCGAACCGCAUGGUUCGAUAGUGAAAGAUGGCUUUGCUAUCACUUAUAGAUGGACCUGCGCCGUAUUAGCUAGUUGGUAAGGUAACGGCUUACCAAGGCAACGAUACGUAGCCGACCUGAGAGGGGGAUCGGCCACACGGGAACUGAGACACGGUCCAGACUCCUACGGGAGGCAGCAGUAGGAAUCUUCCGCAAUGGGCGAAAGCCUGACGGAGCAACGCCGCGUGAGUGAUGAAGGUCUUCGGAUCGUAAAACUCUGUUAUUAGGGAAGAACAAACGUGUAAGUAACUGUGCACGUCUUGACGGUACCUAAUCAGAAAGCCACGGCUAACUACGUG